GGGUAUAUCUCAGGUGAGUAUAUCUCAAGUGCGUAUCGUAGCCCCCGAGUGUCAUACCUUCCAGUCAGCCCAUUUGUUAGUGUUCCACUUAGGCUUCAAUAGGAAUAAACUCCACAUAUAAUUAAAUUACGUAGGCACCCACAAAUAUUGUUACGUACCUUUACUCCUUGUACAUGGCUUCAUGGUGCGUGAAGUGCAAGGCUUGGAUGCACAUAUUACACUUGGUAUCUACUCAGUCAUGUCGGGCCAACCUGAGUUCAAGGUUACUCUUGCUAUCAUAUUCCAUAUGGUACUUACGUCGGUUCUCUCUGGUUCAACCCCUAUAUGAUCAAACCAAGUCAAUAUAGGUAAUUAGACUGGGUUUAGAAAAUAGGGUAUCACAGUAUGGGCUUUGAGGACUUUUUGCAGUUGCAAGUGAGUAACUGCGACCUUAAUAUGUAUCAAAUUUUGAUGAAGAGGUGGUGGCCGUUGACUCACACUUUCCAUUUUACCUGUGAGGAGAUAAUUAUCACCCCCAUCGAACUUCAGCUUGUGUGCAGUCCUGUGGUUCAGAGGGAUGGUGAUCAUGGGCUGCCUGAAGGGAUGGGACCCCAUGAAUAAGAUAAGUUAUGUGACCACGCUUAUCAAUGAGUGGUCCAACACCACCACACCGUUAGUGAGAUGGUUUCGCAAGAAUUGGGAAAAGCCAGUGAACGAGGUGAUUGGUGAGUCUCUAGCUUCUACGCGAUAUCAGUUGGCGGAGCUUUGUGAUGUACAUGUUGGGGAACUCCCUCUCAACAAAAGUAUGAAUUCUAUUAGGUUGGAUCUGCUAGGCUAUUUGGAGAAGAUUGAGGGGAUGAAGAAGUACAUCUAGGGAGCAUCCGGAUACUCCACCUCCUUAGGAGCAUCGAUGCCCUGGCUAUGGAUGAGAGGCAUUGUAAUUAUUGUGGAUUCAUGUGUCCUUGAGUGCUGGUGCUUCGAGUAUUUACAUCUCCGAGAGCCCAAGCUUAAGGAAGUAGCCAAGACUUCUUCCCUUGCCCCAGGAGAGGGUUGGCAAUGAUUUAUGAACGCCACAAGCCAAUGCGCUUUGUCUUCGAGCUUAGAAAUCUGUUGAACUGCCUCUCACCUUAGCACCAUGGGCCCUGAAUGGGAGGAUGGCGGUCAAUCCUUGGUGCCUCAUCUUCCACCUUGUCACAAGCUGCACCCAGAGAUGUUGACUCCAAAUCGAAUCUUCGAUGGGAGGAUAGGCUACCCGGUCUCUGAUUUCUUCACAUUAGAGUCCUAGAGCCAAUAACAGGAGUUCAUGAUCACGGAGGGCGUAUGCCACCACAUCACCCCAGAGGGUUUGAAGGAUCACCACGAGAGGAUUCCUCCCACCUCUGCUGCCAUUGGCUCAUCUCAUGCCACCUCCACUACUCCUGUUGCAAGGCCUACUACUAAGAUGGGUGUGCAGAGCAUUCCCAGGGUGAUGGGCCACCACCUGGGGUUGUCCUCCCAGGGUUCCCUGAUUGGGUUUUCUGGGAUACGGGUGUCCCUGUGGACAUCCCUGUUUCUAGGUUGUCGUUGACUGGGGUGCCUACCUAGUAAGCUUAUAUCUUGGGCACCAAUAUGACGCACCAAAUAUGACGAUCUCAUAUCGAUAAUCAAUGGGUAUGAGUAGCUAUUGGGGAAGGAGAUGGCAGCCCAUCGUGCCAUAGUAAUUCACUUUCUCUUGUAAAUGUACCUGCAAGGUUAGUUGCAUAGAAUACUACCACAAAACGUAUGCAUGUGGAAAUCUGAGUUAGAUGCAACGAGGUUGGACAUCAAGGUCUAUUAGGCCACAAUUACAUAGCUUCAGGAGCAAGUUGGUGUGUGGGCACAUUCGUGGCUGCCACGGAGGGGGUGAUGAGUCAUCUCACUCAGAGAGUGAGGAGGAGGAUAGUGCUGAGGUAGAUGCCAGGAGGGAGUGGAGGUCAAAGGCCUUAGAGGAGUCUGAUUAGUUUAGGUUUUUAUUUUUUUUGAUGAUGUACAUGACCACUUGGUCAUUUUUUCUUUCUUUUGAAAUUCUAUGGGUGUAUGACCGGUUGGUCAUUUUUGUAAAGAUUCAGGAUCUUUAAUUCCUCUAAGUAAUGGGAUUUGAAUUUUUCA